AGCAGUGGGCAGCAACUGGUCUCUUUCACUCCCCUCCCCCCCGUAAACCAGACCCCAAACAAGAGGAAUUCGCCUCCUCUUUAACUUUAUUUCCUUGAUUAGCUCUCCAAAAUAAUAAUAAUAAAAGCCGGGGUGGACUUAGGGGAAGUUUUAGGGUUGCUGGAAAGGAGAUUUCUCCUCUUCUGCAGGUUGUGAGGGGGACGCUGCGUGCGGCUGGCAGAUUUGUUGCUGGAUACCAAAACUUCCGUGAAACAGUCCCUGCGGCCCAUGAUGGAGAGAAGGAGACAGGUUUAUUCCAUAGUAUGAAAAUCCAGCUGCUUCCUGUGCACUUCAUACAUCAUCACCAACAAAGCCAGACAUCAGCACCUCGCUCAGAUUCCAGGGUGAUUAUUGUCGUGCAUGAUCUAUGGAGCAAAUAAAUUAUAGCUUUAUUUUUAUAAGGUACAUUGAGCCUGCAGGCUUCAGUAGUAACAAAAACAAAACGCAGAACCUUGGGUUUAACUAGAAAUUUGAGGAAAUCUGACAAUCUGACAUGGACGUCACAGAGUAAAUAAAUAUGCACAUCCAUCAUUUUGUAAAACAAUGCCUUCGCUAGAGAGAGACCUCUGCUUGUUUUAUUCUGCAAGGGUGAUCAGCUGAUUCAUGCCCAUUCUGGCAUUCAUCUUCCCCAACACUGCAUAGUGCAUCAAGCGGAAGAUUCAGCAGUAUCCACAAAAAUAUAGUUUGUGCUAAUAAUAUACAUUGCCGCCAACCACAGCCUUUGCUUUGCAAUUGACUGAGGCAAUAUUCUUGAACGGAGGCAUGGUAAUGUGGACUUCCCAGAGGAUCAUAGAUGCUCUGACUUCUCUCGACCCACUUUUAAAGCAGUCAAAGCAGGAAUGGAAGAGGCCGUCACAAAACCACAUAGCAGGAGCUGCCAGCAACAGGAGGAGAAAGAAACGUAUAUUUCUUCAAGUUGUUUGUAAUGUUGUUCCCCUCUGGGAAGUACUUUACAAGGGGCAGUAGGGAACCAGGCAAUCAGUUGCUUGGGGAAAGGGCAAGAAAGGGCAUAGCUUUCCAGUGGGGGCAUGUGUUGUAGGGUAGUUAUCACACUGUGGGAAAAAACUAGGUUUUAUAUUUUCCCUUCUAAACAAGACACUGUACAAAGCAGUGAAAUUACAGGAACUUAGCAAAUGAGGCAACCAUUAUCUGCUCAGCAAUGGUUUCCAUGUUCUUGGGUGCACAGAUGGGAUGACAUGAGGCUGCAUGCCACAAGGUGGGAUAGAACUUGUUUCUCGAAUGUUGGCCUGAUCAGCGUGAUUAUCCUUUACUUUUUUUCCAGGGGCUCUUUCACUCUGGUUGUCUACGUAGCUAUAAUUCUGCAUUUGGUUUACAUUUAAAGGGGCAGUACAAAGUCUUCCCACCAAUCUCCAGUGGGGGAUCUCAGAGAGGCACUGCUUUCUCUCUCAUGUGGACUUUAUAUUGAUUCCUUCUUGGUUCGUUGUCUUCCUUAAUGAAAUAUAAAAGUCAGCUUGACUGACAAUAUUGUGUGUAUAGAACUCACGGCUGCCUGCUUUGGGCAGCUAGCAGCAAAGGGCAGACACAGUCUAACCAUAUGGCCAACGCUCACAAAAUUGUCUCGAGUGUCAAGAUUUGGGGCCAGUUUUGCCAGCUGUUUCCACCAUGCAAACAGCCACAGGUGGCUCAGGAAUUUUUGCCUGAGCCAUCUGCAAUUUUCUUCUUGGAAAAGAGUCGAGGCUUUUCUGCCAGCCCACGACCCCGGGUACCUGGUCUGCUCCACAGGACACAGUAUUACCAAUCACAAGCAUUCAAAAAUCAUGAGGUUGGCUUAAAAACAUGAACAAUUUAUAAUUAAAACUUCAUUUCGGGGGAAAGAGGGGAUUUGCCUUCUGUUUUUUCUGCCAUUAGGGGUCACAUUUUCAAGAUAUUCCUGCAACCAUUAGGGCUACAAAGUGGAGUGGGGUUUUUUUAGUUGAAAGCCGAGAUGCUCACGCAAUUGCAUGAUUCCAGGAGCUGGGGCUUUAAGAAAAGCCACCAAAUAUCAGGCGAGCCAAGAUAAAAACCACAAGACAUGACAAUAUUAUCUGCAUGCGGAGAACAGAGGCACUCCAGAAUUCAUUCCCUAGGAGCCCCCUCCAAGGAAUUCCAUCUGACUCAGGUAGGCUUGCUCUGGGAGCUGCCACGGCAGCAUGCCCCCUGCAGCAGCCUUUGGCUGUCUGAAAUACCCCACCUCAGAGUCUGUGGAGCAGCUACUGUAGAUUUUCACCUCGCCAGCUUUAGGCAACGUAUCAGAGAUUACAAUAAAACUGUAGAGUGUUUCUAUAUUAACCUGUAAAUUUUAGAGCCUCGCCUUUCAAGCAUGGAGACAUUUUAAGAGCCUUUUUGCUUUUCCGAGGUAGUAAAAGUGCUGAUGCAUCUGGACGAUCAUGACUCAGGUUAAUUACUAGACGUGUUCUAAAGCCACAGUUCCCGGGCUCCACACUGGUACCAUCUGGUACCCCACAAACACACACUUACACCAGCACUGCCAGUCUGCUGUGCUGUGAUAUCAUUCCCACAUGCACAGAGACAGCGUUUCUGGGAAUAACAUCAGAGAACUAGUCAGUCUCUUUGAAGCUUUCAGUGGAGAUGCUUUAUAGCUAGGUACAUCCGCUCUCCAUAAACAAACCUGAAAACACCCAUAUGUUCAGAGAUGUCCAUGCACCACAUGAUAAGCAAGCACAAAUAUACCCUGACAUUGAAACACGCCCAUCCUCAAACGACCUGCCUAACCCUGUCAGAGUUCUCCAUAACCUUUGGCCUGGAGAGUAGUGCAAGCCUUAUCUUUUCAGUCAUGCUAAAGAUUGUGACACUGCCUGAUCCCAAAGCCAACUGGAGUCUUUUCGUUGACACCCAUGAGCUUUGGCUCAUUGACAAACUGCUCAGACAGCAUCCUUGUCACACAAGCUUGUCUCUCUCUUCUCACGUGCAUAACAGUUGCACAGACAUCAUGAGACCCAGUACGUAAUGCUGGGAAGGAAGACUCCCUUAUGAAACAUGCCAAAGCUCUUCAUCCUUCCGAAUGUGUUUUUUUUUUUCCUUUUCAACAGCUCGUUCCUGUGACCAGUUCAAUCCCCAUCUAGGGUUGUUCUUCUGACGUUAUAAGAGUCAAAUGGUCUCAAAAGGCCCCAAAAGCACCGAUAGGCCAAAUCUUGGAGUUCAUUCCUAGUUUUUAUUCAAAAAUGGCAUGGCUUUUUAGCAGGGAUGGAACCCAAGGCCUUCAGUGUUGCAGCACAGACCUCAACUGCUUAAGCUAAAAGAGUAAUUCUGUUAGUGAUUAGCAGUAGUGGGGUUUUGUCCUCUAUGGGCCAGCUGCUCGAGAGGGAUGCAACGUGUACUUUGCCAGAGCGUUACACAAUAACUCCAGGAUAUGGUUCACUGAUUGCACCCAGUCAGCUGAUGUGUGCUGCGAGACCACUCUUGAUGGUACUAAUGGUCUCUAACAAAUGCAGAAGGUGUCACCUUUCCAAGAGCAGCUGGCUGUGGGAUUUUAGAAACAGGUAUUUUGCCAGGAGAACAAGUCAUUUUCUCUAGCAAACUCAGUGUCACAUCUCACUGAGGAGCUAUGUCAUUUGCAUAACUUCCCAUGGAAACGGAAUCUGUGUUUGACAUCAUGGGACAGAAUCUCAGACUCAGUUUAGCAUUAUCAAGCCACUAGUCAUCAGUCCACUGUCAUUCUCCUAUAUCGGACAUCUUAAUAAUCAGUGCUAUGCACACAUGUUCAGCAACAGCAAAUCCUUAUGAUCUCCCCAGACAACUGCAGCUUGGGUUCAUGCACAACAAACAUCAGCAGAACAACAGUCCUCACAGUACUUGGAAUACACCCUUCCUGAUAAGUGUGGAGGCUAUUUUCAAUUCCUCUUAAAUAAUUGAAGAUACUACAGAUACAAUCAAGAGUCAAACUUUUCGAGAUGGAACUGUCUAGAUGAUGAAUAAGUUAAUGGAACUAAAAUCCCAGUCGUGGCUGAUUAGAGGACCUAGAGAGUUUAUCGGAGAUGGGAUUGUACAAGCCCAGUCACAGCCUGACCUUGUAACGAAUGAGAGCUAAAAAGCAAUUAAUUGAGAAAUUAUCAGGGAAAAGAGAAGGUGUAUGGUUGGUUAGGUAAAGCAAUAUGUCAGUGGGCCAUGGAUUGAUUUGGCUGGAAUAACUCCAGGUCUCUGUUCUGAUGAUUCAGGACUUCAGGAACUGGCCUAAGCCAAUCAAUAAAAACAAAACAGGGUCAGGAGUGGGAGUCAUCAGUCAGUAUGGCAGAUCAGGAUUCAUGUAUUAUUAAAUUGGCAAUAGAGGAAAGUUCUCGUACAGCCAGCAGCACUCAAAGUUCUUAAACUCUACUUUUGCACUGUGACGGAGGAAUCAAGAUAGAACUGAUCUUCCAUUGUGCAAAUUACCCUUCUCAUUUUAAAUGAUGGAUUUUUAGACAGCUUUGUGUCUUCAGGGGUAUUUCAUGGGCACAGUUAUCAUGAUUGCAUUCAUAAAGUGAGUAAUUGUAGGUCUUAUUUGCACAUGCAGCUGCAGAAGGUAGUCAGAAAGAAUUCCAUGGAUUUCAAUAUUCUUUGGAUCUAGCCCUAAAUGCAUCUCUAAAAUGUCUUCUAAAUAUCUGGAUUUACUUUCCCCCGCUGAUAUUUUAACUACAUCAGCAACCAGGAAAAUCCAGAUACAUGAUUUCGAAAUCCUUACUUUAUUUUGCUAUUUUGCAGUGCCAAAUACUGCAUUUAGUUAUUUGUAGAGUCGACAUAAAUAAAAGGGAAAGAUGUACACCUGUUUUUAAGACUGACUUCAAAAGCUGUAUCCACCUGCACCUCAGCUAAUGUUGAAAACAUUCUUAGGGGCAGAUAGAGAAACAUUCUCACAGCACAAAGGAUUGAAGGCGACGUCUGUACAGAGCUUUGACGUUGUGCAAAAUUACAGCCUGAAUUCUGACCUUAACCAGGCCGCCUUGAGUAAGCAAAACUCUCAUUGGCCACUCAUCAAAGCCCCUGCCUUCUCUGAAGGUCUGCCUGGCUGAGAAGUGGGUGAGAAUGGAAGACUAGAUAAGGACCAGAUUAUGCCCUUACUCCCAUGAGCAGGCUCUCCAGGUCACAGGUAGCAUUGUGGAGAGGAGUGUAGCUUCCAUGGAAUUGCUACAUCCCUCCCUGUGUAUGAAUGGACAGGACAGGGAGAAGGUGGAACGUUGGAUCUACCCACCUGACUCAACACAUCAGAACUAUUUACAGAGGGAUACGGGACAGAGCAUGGAUGUUCCCAUCCCCACCUUCUUAUCUUUGAUAAAAGCACAUCCAUUUGCAGUUGCUCUAUACAAUGACCCCCAAUAUCACUGGAAUUAAGAUAUGGGCAAUUGAACCUGAAUUGAGCCUCUUCGCUCAUGACAUCCUUCUCGGUCUAACUGACGAAGCUAAAUUACUGAAGGCUACACGAUCUCAUGAAGAAGAGACAGAGCAAAUGUAGCCGGUUUUAAAGUGAGCUUUACUUCAAAUUACAUCAACAACAAAAUUAAGCCUGCCCACCAAUUUCCCGGUGACACAGACUCCAAGAUAGGGAUAUGGCCCUCCCCAAAUGUAAAAUCCCAUUGAAAUACCAGAAUGUGCAGUAAUUGCACCAAUAACAUACACUAUAACUUCUUAUGAGGGAAGUGGCGUGAUUUAGUGGCCUGAGUGUCAGCGGACUUGGGUUCCAUUCCCUGCUCUACCCUGAACUUCUGUGUGACCUUAAUCAUGACAUUUCACAGCUCUGUGCCUCUGUUUCCUCUCCUAUCUUUUGCUUUUGUAUCUAUUAUAUCAACAGAUCAGCACAUCCGACCGUCCCGCAUUGCAUGCGUUUGGGAAGUUAUUCUGCCUUAACACUGCUGGGGGUCAGGAUUUAGUGUUAGAAUACAGUUUGAUCUGUAAAAUGGGACUAAUGAGACUGCCCCCGCCUUUGCAAGGUGUUUUGGGAUCUAAAGAUGAAAUGGACUGGUGGGCUGCCUAUGCUGCAUUCAGGGGUUGUGACUGCAGCAUGUGUAGGUCUGCCUGAGCUAGCAGUAAUCUAGUGAGCACAGGUACUGAUAGCAAUGAAGCCGCAGCAAUAUGGAUGUUCACACAAGCUGUACAGGUAGCAUUUGCUUGGGCGACUUGCUCACAUGAUGCCGUGGCUUCACUGCUGUUGGUACCUGAGCUAUAUAGGUUAAAGCUAGUGCGGAUACCAACAUAAGAGUGUGGUCAGAAGAAUGUGGACAUAUUGGGCCAGACAAAUGAUCCAUCUAGCCCAGUAUCCUGUCUUCUGACAGUGGCUAGCGCCUGAUGCAUCAGAGGGAAGGAACAG